GGAAAGGCCCCUUCGGGGGUACUCGAGUGGCGAACGGGUGAGUAACACGUGAGUAACCUGCCCUUGACUUCGGGAUAACUUCAGGAAACUGGGGCUAAUACCGGAUAGGAAUCCUUGCUGCAUGGUGGGGGUUGGAAAGCUUCGGCGGUUUUGGAUGGACUCGCGGCUUAUCAGCUUGUUGGUGGGGUAGUGGCUUACCAAGGCUUUGACGGGUAGCCGGCCUGAGAGGGCGACCGGCCACAUUGGGACUGAGAUACGGCCCAGACUCCUACGGGAGGCAGCAGUGGGGAAUAUUGCACAAUGGGCGGAAGCCUGAUGCAGCAACGCCGCGUGCGGGAUGACGGCCUUCGGGUUGUAAACCGCUUUCAGCAGGGGCGAAGCUUGUGGUGACGGUACCUGCAGAAGAAGCACCGGCUAACUACGUGCCAGCAGCCGCGGUGAUACGUAGGGUGCGAGCGUUGUCCGGAUUUAUUGGGCGUAAAGAGCUCGUAGGUGGUUGAUUGCGUCGGAAGUGAAAACUUGGGGCUUAACCCUGAGCGUGCUUUCGAUACGGGUUGACUUGAGGAAGGUAGGGGAGAAUGGAAUUCCUGGUGGAGCGGUGGAAUGCGCAGAUAUCAAGAGGAACACCAGUGGCGAAGGCGGUUCUCUGGACCUUUCCUGACGCUGAGGAGCGAAAGCGUGGGGAGCGAACAGGCUUAGAUACCCUGGUAGUCCACGCUGUAAACGGUGGGUACUAGGUGUGGGGUCCAUUCCACGGAUUCCGUGCCGUAGCUAACGCAUUAAGUACCCCGCCUGGGGAGUACGGCCGCAAGGCUAAAACUCAAAGGAAUUGACGGGGCCCCGCACAAGCGGCGG
rnacentral:rRNA from 1 species